GUGUUGGUGGUGCAGUGGUAAGCAUGGUUGCCUUCUAAGUAGUUGACCUGGGUUCAAUUCUCAGCCAUCACA